CCCAGCCCCCUGCAGUGGCACCCCGCUCCCCACAACCCCGGCAUCCUGCAGCCCUGGGCGAGCCAGCCCUCAGGAGGAGGGGCAGCUUGCAGGGGGCCAAGUGCAGGGCCAGACCUGGACAGCAGGGAGAAGGGGUCCCCCAGGUUUUCCUGCAGUGAUUCGGAAGGCAUCUUGGACCUCUGGACUCUCUAUCCUGCUCCCGGCACCCCUGCUGGGACCCCUCAGAAAAUGUGGGGCCCUAGGUCACCAGGCUCCCCCCACUAGUGGGACAGCUGAUUCCCAAAGCCUUUUCUCCCCAUGGAAUCUGGACAAUUUCUCCAGGGAGCUGCAACAAGAAAAGGGCUCUACACACAGAUUCCGGGCAGAUAAGUUGGCAUUUAAAAGAGAAAAGGACGCUGACCUCCUUUGAAGGAGGCUUGAGGAGACGCUCCACCCAUCCCUGGUUGGGAGGCCACUGGGCUGGGGAGCCUGGGCACCUGGCAUCCGACUGAUACCCUCUGCUCCCUCUCCGCAGCCGACCAGAGCCCAGCUGAGAGGGGACUGCACUGCCAGAACCCGGCCUGCAUGGACAAGGGCCGGGCUGCCAAGGUAUGCCACCACGCUGACUGCCAGCAGCUGCACUGCCGGGGUCCCCUCAACCUCUGCGAGGCCUGCGACAGCAAGUUCCACAGCACAGGGCAUUAUGACGGCCACGUCCGCUUCGACCUGCCCCCCCGGGGCUCUGUCCUGGCCCGGAAUGUGUCCACCCGGUCGUGCCCACCCCGCACCAGCCCUGCGGUGGACUUGGAGGAAGAGGAGGAAAGUGCCACGGAUGGCAGAGGGGAUCGGAAGGCCACAGGCCUGAAACUCUCCAAGAAGAAGGCGAGGAGGAGACACACAGAUGACCCGAGCAAGGAGUGCUUCACCUUGAAAUUUGACCUGAACGUGGACAUCGAGACGGAGUUUGUCCCAGCUGUGAAGAAGAAGUCGUUGGGGGAGGUGCUGCUGCCCGUGUUCGAAAGGAAGGGCAUCACCCUGGGAGAAGUGGACAUCUACCUGGACCAGUCCAGCACGCCACUGUCCCUCACCUUCGAGGCCUACAGGUUCGGUGGACACUACCUGAGGGUUAAAGCCAAGCCAGGGGACGAGGGCAAGGUGGAGCAGGGCGUGAAGGACGCUAAGUCACUGAGCCUCCCGAUCCUGUGUCGGGCGGCCGGGGCCGGGGCCCCCGUGCUGGAGCGUGUGGACCCCCCGAGCCGCCGGGAGAACCUCGAUGUCUUGGCCCCUGGCCGCAGGCGCAAGAACAUGUCGGAGUUCCUGGGGGAGCCCAGCGUUCCGGGCCAGGAGCCCACCCCGCCCUCCAGCUGCUCUCUGCCCAGCAGCGGCCCCAGUGACAGCUGGAAGAACCGGGCAGCCAGUCGCUUCAGUGGCUUCUUCAGCUCCAGCCCCAGCACCAGCGGCCUGGGCCGGGAGGUGGACAAGAUGGAGCAGCUGGAAGCCAAGCUGCACGCCUACAGCCUCUUCGGGCUGCCCCGGCUGCCCCACCAGCUGCGCUUCGAUCAUGACUCCUGGGAGGAGGAGGAGGAGGAAGAGGAGGAGGAGGAUGAAGAGGAGGAUCGUGCCUGCCCUCGGCUGGAGGACAACUGGCGGGAGCUCAUUGAUGGGCACGAGAAGCUGACCCGGCGGCAGUCCCACCAGCAGGAGGCGGUGUGGGAGCUCCUGCACACCGAGGCCUCCUACAUCCGGAAACUGCGCGUCAUCACCAACCUGUUCCUGUGCUGCCUCCUGAACUUGCAAGAGUCCGGGCUACUGUGCGAGGUGAGGCGGGCUGGGGAGGUACUGGGAGGAGGGGUGGGGCCGAGGCNNNNNNNNNNNNNNNNNNNNNNNNNNNNNNNNNNNNNNNNNNNNNNNNNNNNNNNNNNNNNNNNNNNNNNNNNNNNNNNNNNNNNNNNNNNGCAACAUCCCCGAGAUCGCGCGACUGCACCGCGCUCUGUGGAGCAGGCAGCGUGA
rnacentral:lncRNA from 1 species